rnacentral:rRNA from 1 species
GAUGAACGCUGGCGGCGUGCCUAAUACAUGCAAGUCGAGCGAACAGACGAGGAGCUUUCUCCUCUGACGUUAGCGGCUGACGGGUGAGUAACACGUGGAUAACCUACCUAUAAUACUGGGAUAACUUCGGGAAACCGGAGCUAAUACCGGAUAAUAUAUUGAACGGCAUGGUUCAAUAGUGAAAGACGGUUUUGCUGUCACUUAUAGAUGGAUCCGCGCCGCAUUAGCUAGUUGGUAAGGUAACGGCUUACCAAGGCGACGAUGCGUAGCCGACCUGAGAGGGUGAUCGGCCACACUGGAACUGAGACACGGUCCAGACUCCUACGGGAGGCAGCAGUAGGGAAUCUUCCGCAAAGGGCGAAAGCCUGACGGAGCAACGCCGCGUGAGUGAUGAAGGUCUUCGGAUCGUAAAACUCUGUUAUUAGGGAAGAAAAAAUGUGUAAGUAACUAUGCACGUCUUGACGGUACCUAAUCAGAAAGCCACGGCUAACUACGUG